rnacentral:misc_RNA from 1 species
GAGAUUCUGUAUAAUUGUUUGGCUCCUGAUAUAGUAAGGAAAAUCACAUGUUGUCUUCAGACUCUUGAUAGAUUUGAAGAGAUAUUCUGUAGCCGAUAUAGAGUUGCAGGUAACUUCGAUUGGAAGCAUUUUAGGUGUCAUAAAUGGGUUGAAUGAACCCUUUAUGCUAAACCCAAACCAGCUUAACUAUGUUGAUGCCAGCCCUGGUACUGAUAUGUAGGUUCACUGACAUUGAUGAAAACAGUACAAGUUGAUGCUAAGAUCCUAUCUUUAUAUUAAUGUUGAGCAAUACUUUCGUAGCUUCAAAAAUGGUGUUUGGUU